rnacentral:rRNA from 1 species
UACGUAGGGAGCAAGCGUUGUCCGGAAUCAUUGGGCGUAAAGCGCGCGUAGGCGGCCCUGUAAGUCCGUUGUGAAAGUCAAAGGCUCAACCUUUGAAAGCCGAUGGAUACUGCAGGGCUAGAGUCCGGAAGAGGAGAAUGGAAUUCCUGGUGUAGCGGUGAAAUGCGCAGAUAUCAGGAAGAACACCCGUGGCUAAGGCGGUUCUCUAGUACGGUACUGACGCUGAGACGCGAAAGCGUGGGGAGCGAACAGG